CGAACGCACCCUUCAUUAAUCUCAUCUGCGUAGUCGAAUUGACAGUUCUAAAGUGGUAAAAUUUAGGUUCUUUUGCAAAAACAUUAACAAUGCCACAGAUUAAAACGAAGAAAAAAAUAUACUAUUUUGGGCUCAGAGUGACCGUUACAGACAACCUAAACAAAAGAUGGCCCUAUCCCUUGACUUUGGAUGAGAAUCCAAUGAGGCUGGACCAUUAUCUUCAAUUUCUUUCAAAAUUAAUUGCAUUUACUGGGAGGACUCCUAUAAUAUGCUGGAACAGUUGCAGGGAAGAACAUUUGCCUCGCUCCUUCUGCCUUAAUAAUGGGAAAAAUGAUUCCUGAUGCACCCGAAAUUAACCUAGCUCCAAUCCAGAAGCGAUGAGGUGAAGGAAAUGGCAGUAACAAACGCCCAACACCAUAAAUUGCUACAGCAAAGAAAUGGACAACCAAGCUCAACGGUCGAGGAUUUAAACCUGAUAGCAAAGAGAUUGGUCCUGUUGAAAAUACACCUCCAAGACUUAAAUAAUCAAAGCAAGCCUGGCGCAUUUCCUUCCUUGCUUCAUCAGAAGAAGCGCAAAACACCUUGUAGAGGGCACCUGCCAAUGUAUUGAUUGUAGAUGCCACAGGCUGCAAUGAUAACACUAGAUGUUAAGUUGACUGACAUAUUAUGGAAUCUUAUCUUCAUCAUGAAGAAAGUUCCACGGCCAAGUUUGGCUUUAAUUCUCGCAAUAUUCAAAGAGCAUAUGAUUUAUUCUCCAUGCAAAAGUUCUCCCCAUAUGCAUGCCACCAGCUAGAGGCAGUCCAAGAAAAAAAAAGCAGGCACUACUCCAGUUGUAGCAGCAUCAAAACAUGCAUAUGAAUAUAACUUACCUUACGCAAGGUGUAGAAGGAUUCAAGAUAUCUGCAGAGAGUAGGUGCAUCACGUAGAUCUCGCAAAGGCUUGAGAAGAUCCCGUAGCACAACAAUGUCAGAUAGUGCCACAGUCAUUCCUCCUCCAGUUAGAGGAUGGCGCAUGUUGAAUGCAUCACCCAUCAACAAAGCACCAGGGGUAGGAUAUGGAGAAGCUGGCAUACUUCUGUUAGGCAUUGUCCUAAUGUUCCCCGUAUCAACUGCAGCUACAAAAGAAUCAUAAAUUUCUGGGGGAACCUGAGGCGCCACCACGUUCUUCAAAUAAUUUGCCAUUUCACCACUUGAAACAGAAGGGACCUUCUGACCAGGUACAUCCACCAGACUGCGAACUUCUGUACUGCUGAUAGGAUAGAACAAAAUUGGGGAAGGGUCUGCUAGUAUAACAUGCCCAUGAUUUGCAUAUGGAAGUUGGCAAUUCUCCAAGACCAAGCCAACAAAACAAGAGGGCACAUCUACCUUAGGAUUGCAAAGUGAGCGUCGCAAAUUGGAGAAACAGCCAUCACAAACAAUUGUCAAAGGUGCAAAAGCUGUAUGCUCUUCACCGGUUUUAGUUUUGUACAGCACACCUUUAAUUGUCCCUUUUUCUUCAAGUAGAGAAGUGACAGUUCCUUGCUCCAAUCGUACAUUGGGAAGGGCUGCAGCUUUUUCCCGCAUCCUCUGUAUAAAACGCCCAUUAUGGAAGCUUCUCCCAGCAACGUCAGAAUGGAAAUUUUCCAAAGGAUACGGGAGCCUAGUAUUUUUACCAUCCUUGAAGAGAGCAUAACCAAGCACUCGUUGGGCAUCUAUUUCCUCCAAACAAUCCUCAAGGCCCAAUUCAAUUAAUUUUAGAUAUCCCCCUGGCUGGAGCAGUUCACCGACGAUUCUGUCAGGCUCUGUCAAGUCCCUUUCUAUGACAUGAACUCGUCUUCCAUCCUGCAAUUAGUACGAAAAAAAAAAUCAAAGCGUUUAGUUGAAGGUCAUGUUUGAGGCCAAAAAGAGAUCUUUCACAUACCCCAUAUGGUAAACCAAGAUUACGUUCAAUGGUGGCUUAUAUGUUUAUUCGUAUGGAUACCAAACACAGUGAUAAGCAGAUAUGCAAUAAGCUAUAAAUUCUUGAUUUGCUGUGAAGAAAAAUCUACAAGAUUUCUCAAAUCUAAGGCAUAGUAGAUGGCCAACCAUCCAUAAACAAAAUUUGACUUGCUAAAAAUCAUAAUGAUCAAGUACUGAUAAAUUCCAUAUCUGAACGUAUCCUGUGAAUUUAACAAGUUAAAAAAAAAACAAAACGACCACGUAAAGAUUUUGUAGCUUCAAAUCCACUCAACCAUCUCAAAAACGCACCAUAGAUUUGGUAUGAGUUUAUUAUAAUAUGAACCUGAAUUUUUUAAUCCAUCAACAUAUUAUUCAAAAUGGCAUGUAACUAUGUAUCAACUUUUAUUCAAAAAUUUUGCCAACCCAGAAUUUUGAUCAAGAAAGCCAUAACUUCAAUUCCCAUGAAUAGUUCCAACCCACAUAAGCUUUCAUGGAGGAGGUUGCAUCAUCAAAUAACCACUCAGAAGCUCGUUUCACCUUGCCAAGCGUACAAGCGAGGGCUGCACCAGCGACGCCAGCGCCGACGAUGAUGACGUCAGGACCGGAGUCAUCCUCAGGUCUCCUCACUUUGUAAUUGCGGGUCUUGAAGGCAGCUUUUUCCUUAAACUUCUGCUUGUUCUCGAGGUUCUGGCGCUUUUGGCGCAAAAUGCAGAGAAGGAAAAAACCAAAAACAGAAGCAAAGAAAGUCCCAAGAAUGAACUUAUCAAUAACAAUUGCCAUAUUUAUAUAGUCACCCGAACAAGCCCCAAGAGUUGAGAAAAAUAUACAUAUAACAAGUUCUUGGGUAUCUUUCGUGGUCUCCACCAGAAUGCUGCUUUGUCUUCUUGUUUUUCUUGAGGUGAGUUCGGUGGUGAUGAGGUGGCGAGCGUAGGAGAGGGUGGAGGAGAAGGUGGCGUUCUUUUAUAGAGAGAAAAGAAAGAAAGAGCUGAAUGGAGACUACUCAUUAAUUGCUGUAAGUUUUAGGUGGAGCAGAAUGCUGUUCUUGUAUCGUCAACCU
rnacentral:misc_RNA from 1 species